rnacentral:rRNA from 1 species
UACGUAGGGGGCAAGCGUUGUCCGGAUUAAUUGGGCGUAAAGCGCACGCAGGCGGUCUUUUAAGUUUCGAGUGACAGGUGGGGGCUUAACUCCACAGGCCUGGGAAAACUGGAAGACUUGAGGACGAGAGAGGGACGCGGAAUUCCAGGUGGAGCGGUGAAAUGCGUAGAGAUCUGGAAGAACACCAAAGGCGAAGGCAGCGUUCUGGCUCGUAUCUGACGCUCAUGUGCGAAAGCCAGGGGGAGCGAACGGGG